UUUAUGACGGUGGAUCUCUUGGCUUGUGCAUCGAUGAAGAACGCAGCAAAAUGCGAUACGUAGUGUGAAUUGCAGAAUUCAGUGAAUCAUCGAAUCUUUGAACGCAAAUUGCGCUUUCGGGUAUUCCCGGGAGCACGUCUGCUUGAGUGAC
rnacentral:rRNA from 1 species